GCAAAAAAGAUGAGGGGUUUGAUGAGUUCGAUGAACUCUCUAAAACCCUUGGGGAAAGAAAACCAGACCCUGAUGACAACAAACCAAUGGAGGAUAAAGUAAAGGAAAAAGCUAAAGCUGAACAUCGAGAUAAGCUAGGAAAAUGAGAUGACACCAUCCCUCCUGAAUCCAGGCAUCUUCUUGAUAAUGACAAGGAUGGUAAACCAGUAAAGCCACCCGCCAAGGAUCCCAAGAAUUCUAAAGAUAGUGGAGACCCCAUUGAUGAACUCUCAGAAGGGUUUGAUAACUGUUCCCAGACUCCAUCUUCAGAAGAUCCAAAGAAAUCCAAAAGGCAAAG